AGCGAACGCUGGCGGCAGGCCUAACACAUGCAAGUCGAACGGGCUCUUCGGAGCUAGUGGCGGACGGGUGAGUAACACGUGGGAACGUGCCUUUAGGUUCGGAAUAAGCCCGGGAAACUGGGUCUAAUACCGAAUGUGCCCUUCGGGGGAAAGAUUUAUCGCCUUUAGAGCGGCCCGCGUCUGAUUAGCUAGUUGGUGAGGUAAUGGCUCACCAAGGCGACGAUCAGUAGCUGGUCUGAGAGGAUGACCAGCCACAUUGGGACUGAGACACGGCCCAAACUCCUACGGGAGGCAGCAGUGGGGAAUCUUGCGCAAUGGGCGAAAGCCUGACGCAGCCAUGCCGCGUGGAUGAUGAAGGUCUUAGGAUUGUAAAAUCCUUUCACCGGUGAAGAUAAUGACUGUAGCCGGAGAAGAAGCCCCGGCUAACUUCGUGCCAGCAGCCGCCGCCG
rnacentral:rRNA from 1 species